AAAUUCCAUUGUGAUUAUUUCAUUUCUUCCAUCUCAACAUAGUUUCCACAAAUAUAAAUAAAUGUCAUGCAUUUUGUCCCUACCAAGAUGGGACAUCUUGGUCUUUGUCACCAAUUUUGGAGAAGAUAAUCAGUUCUACUAAGACAGUAGAUGAAAAGGAAAAAAGAGCAAUUACCUACUAGCUCCCUGAAUCUCUUCCCACCAGAAAUGAGAAGAUUGAAAGUUUGGUUUGAAUCUGAAUGUAGACCCCCUGUGGACAUUUCAGAGGGCAUAGGUUGCUAGGGAUGAUUUCAAUUGUAUAGGAAAUAUUGCAUUUUAAAGCUACCAUAGCAACCUGGGAUUAAUUCUGUGUAGUGCGUUCUGUCCUCUGAGUGGCUAUUUCCGCUAUUUAUGGGCUCUUUGAGGUCACUAUUUUAUCCCCAUUACCUGGCACAGUGCCUGAUGCUGCUAAAUGAAUGCUCAACCAACCAAUAAAUGGUGUGCACUGUGAGCUAAAGUCUGGGGUAGACAUUAGGUUCCUUUUAGAUCAAUAACUGGAGUUAUUUUAAGAAGGCAGAAAGACAAUGGACAGGUUUGGGGAGAAGGAGGUGAAAAGGAAUGAGUGAUGGGCAGCAGGGAGAACGUUAUUUCAUUGUUUUCUAAAAAGGCAAUUUGGAAGAUAAACUUCUUAUAGAAGAAAAAAAAGACCUCAAGAGGGAGGUGACAUGGAGCUUGGAAGGGCGAGGAUACAUCAGAGCGGAGACGUUGCUGUGAGCCUGUUUCUCUUGGCUGCCUAUCAAGGAGCAAUUACCUACCAGCUCCCUGUAUCUCUUCCCAACAGAAACAACCUAGUUAUCCAAAUAUGACUCAUCCACACCCCCAAACUGACUUUGAUAACAAGAUACCAGAAGAAGCAGGGGGAAGAAUUUUAAAGAUUGUAUGCAUGUUAUGACUCUCAUCUUUUCUUUCUCAUACCAGCCUUGCAGGUAUAAGCUGAUGUGAUUAUAGACAGUCUAUGGUUCAGCUUUACUUAAUUCCUAGGCUCUUUAGAUUAAUAAGAGUAUGACUCAGAAAGCAUGGUCAUUAAAAUGUAUUAUAAUGGAAAUUAUUUAUUUGUGCCAUUCCUUGUUACAAGGACAUUCCAUACUUUCCAGUUGUCAGAGUAUAAGCUUUGUUUUUGGAGCUAAAAAUAGAGUAGAAAUCGACAACAUUUAACACACUGAAAAAUGAAAUGUUCAGUCACAAUUUGUUUAUUUUCACUUUUUAAAAAGGAAAGGUUAUUGAGGUUUAAAACCCCUGUGAACUUUAUAGCAAACGUAUAACUCAAUUAACUUCGACACAUUCAGUUGUAUUGUAGCUACCAGAAACAAGGUGGAGAACAUUUCCAUAAUUUUGAGAAGUUCCCUUGUACCCCUUUGUGGUGAACAACCUCUGGCAACCUCUGGUCUGUUUCCUAAUUUUCCAGCUUGACUUAUUUAAGAAUAUCAUAUAAACGAGAUGCAGCACAUUAGCCUUUGAGUCUGGCUCCUUUGACUUAGCUUAAUGCUUUUGAAUUUUCAGCUUGUGGUUUACAGUAGUUUCUCAUCAUAUGUGGUUUUGCUUUGCAUGGUUUCAGUUACUCACAGUGAAGUGAGGUCCAAAAAUAUUAAAUGGUAAAUGUCAG
rnacentral:lncRNA from 1 species